UCUUCUUCUUCUCAGACUCUCUCACCCUUUCGAACCCUCAUGUCAGCCUCCUCCGCUGUGAUUCCGCCAAUAGGUUCAGAAUCCCAAUUGACAAUUGCUUCUUUCACGUCCAAGAGGAAAAGAAAAGGGUUACUAGGAUACCAGAUGCAAUUCAAAUUUGCCACACAGCAGGGGACACAGUCAAACGUCCAGGCCCAACCCUCCCAGCCCGCAAAACUGAACCUACCGAGGUAACUCGAAGGGUUACGGGUUUGUGAGCCAAAUAUAGUGAUGCGGCCCAAAUUUUCCUCACUUCUAAUGUGGUGGCUCAGCCCGCAAAACGGAUGCUUUUAGGCCCAACCUGAGCCUACCCAGCCUACUUACACCUCUAAAAUGAAUAGCACUUCUAUUCGGGAUCCGGAUCAGAUGCCAAUACGGAUUAUGAUACGACCAAAUCAAUGCGCGUUUUCCCCUUCAUCACACGUAAUUACGUGUAGAAGAACUCAACAUCUAGAAGAACUCAACAUCACAUUCCAUAUAUAUACAGAACUAGUACGAUCAUUUUCAUGAAUUAUUGUAAAAUC